CGGUUGAUGUCGUCAGUAUCCACCGGCUUUUCUUCAAGAGAGCCCGUACGCUCAACUACGCCAUGUACGAGAGCACUUAGGAGGUACCGACGUCGACAACGAGAAGCCAGCCGCCGAACGGACCUUGUUCACUGGAAUAGCAAGGGUAUGGACGCUGUCCACGAGGCACUCAGGGACCACAUCAACCGUACAAGAUGAACCUUACUGGCGUCCUAAUGCAGCAAGAGGUCAUACCAAGCCCAGUCAUCAUCAUCGUGGUCGCGCGCCGCAUACGUUACAGCACACUAACCUCCGAAUUCUC